rnacentral:rRNA from 1 species
GAUGAACGCUGGCGGCGUGCUUAACACAUGCAAGUCUAACGAUGAAGCCCAGCUUGCUUGGUGGUUUAGUUGCGAACGGGUGAGUAACACGUGAGUAACCUGCCCUUAACUCUGGGAUAAGCCUGGGAAACGGGGUCUAAUACCUGAUAGGAGCUCCUACCUCCUGGUGGGUGUUGGAAAGAUUUAUCGGUUUUGGAUGGACUCGCGGCCUAUCAGCUUUUUGGUGAAGUAAUGGUUCACCAAGGCUACGACGGGUAGCCGGCAUGAGAGCGUGACCACGCACAAUGCGACUGAGAGACGCAGCAGUGUCCAACGGGCGGCAGUGGUGGGAAAUAUUGCACAAUGAGCGAAAGUCUGUUGAGGAGACGCUGCGUGAGGGAUGACGUCUUUCGGGGUGAAAACAUCUUUAAGUAGAGAAGCAGCGAAAGUGACGGUACCUGAAGAAGAAGCACCGGCUAACUACGUG